rnacentral:rRNA from 1 species
GAUGAACGCUGGCGGCGUGCUUAACACAUGCAAGUCGAACGGAAAGGCCCAAGCUUGCUUGGGUACUCGAGUGGCGAACGGGUGAGUAACACGUGGGUGAUCUGCCCUGCACUUCGGGAUAAGCCUGGGAAACUGGGUCUAAUACCGGAUAGGACGAUGGUUUGGAUGCCAUUGUGGAAAGUUUUUUCGGUGUGGGAUGAGCUCGCGGCCUAUCAGCUUGUUGGUGGGGUAAUGGCCUACCAAGGCGUCGACGGGUAGCCGGCCUGAGAGGGUGUACGGCCACAUUGGGACGGAGAUACGGCCCAGACUCCGACGGGAGGCAGCAGUGGGGAAUAUUGCACAAUGGGCGCAAGCCUGAUGCAGCGACGCCGCGUGGGGGAUGACGGCCUUCGGGUUGUAAACUCCUUUCGCUAGGGACGAAGCGUCUUUGUGACGGUACCUGGAAAAGAAGCACCGGCUAACUACGUG